GUGUGUGUGUGUGUGUGUGUCUGUGUGUGUGUGUGUCUGUGUGUGUGUUAAGAUAGGGUUUCUCUGACGCCCUCUCUGGCCUCUAGUGCAUGUAGGGUGCAUAGGCAUACAUGCAGGCAAAGCACAUACAUAUCUGAAAUUAAUUUUAUUUCUUUUUCUCUUGUGUUGAUAUUUUCGCUUACAUCUUCGAACCAAUGGGACGGCUGAGAACAGGAGGUGGAAGAGUCAGGCAGAGUGAUAGCUUUAGUUGUCAGCUUGCCACAGCCUAGAAUCCUUCCAGGAGCCCCGUGGUACAAAUGCUUGCCAUGUUCCUGUGAUGUAACAUUGCAGGAUGCCUGCUUCUCUUCAAUUACUCAGAAAUUCCGUUUGCAUCUCUCCUUUCCUUUGGAAUGCUGUACAAAGCCCAGUGGUUGUCCCCGUCAGAGGCAACUGAGUGUUUCCUGUCCCAAGAAAUCUGGCUGGCACCACCGCAGUUCUAUGAAAUGAGAAGACUUGAAACUUUUGACUCUCUCUCCGCUCUGCACAGAUUUUCUUCAGAUUACCCGUUAGAGAUAACUGAGAAGUGGCUGCCGAUCAAGCUUUUAACUGCUGACGGCACCAUCAUGCUUUUGCCAGGAGAUGAGCUAUACAGGAAAGACUCACAUUUCCUAGAAAACCCAAUGUCUACUGACAGAAAGACGGAAGAAAUCUUGAAGGAGGGCAGAGUAGUUAACCGAGUAGUGAUCCACAGCUCCCAUCUCUAUGAAAUCCACGUGUCUCUCCUGUCAGAGGGUAAGCACGUGUACCCUAAGAGCUAUGUGGUGAGGAAGAGCCCGACUGCCCACUUGUAAGCUGCUCUUCUUUGGAGGAUCGACUGAACUUGUCUGAAGUAGAAGGAACGCACCUAUCAAAGGCACAGAGAUGUUUCCUGUGUCGUGUGCCAGUCUUCAAACUGCACAGCAAGCCAGCCCUGGGAUAAAAUGUAUGAAGUACUGAGGAUCGUGUUACUGAGAUAAAUGGUUCCACCACGGUUGUCCUUUCUGUGUCUUAUUAGUUUCAACAUUUUUGGUUUUCUGAUACAAGAUUUCUCUAUAUAACAGUCCUGGCUGUCCUGGCACUCGCUCUGUGGACCAGGCUGGCCUCAAACUCACAGAGAUCCACCUGCCUCUGCCUCUGCCUCCCAAGUGCGGGAUUAAAGGCGUGGUGACAAAUCGAGGCUCUACUUCUGUCUUGUAACUGUCACAGGUGAGAUUCAGCCCCGGAUCUCUAGACUUUUGGCAGGAAUUGAUUCAGGGUACCUAAUUAGACAGUGUUAUGGUUCCAAUGUGAACUUUCCUGCACAUGGUCCCUAGCUGGUAGCACCUUUUUGUCAGGCUUUAACUAGGAGAAGUGGGUUGCUGGCACGGGUGGUCCCGAGGGGUUGAGUCUCACCUCCAUUCCGGCACAAUUCUCUGUUUUCUGAUCUGGGGAGAUGUGAGCAGCCCGCUCCAGGUUUCUGCCUCUGUGCAUGUCACAUUGCUUUCAGCACCAUGAAACUGGCUGAAAUAAAUCCUUACUCUCUUUGUCUCUGAGGCAUUUGACCGUAGCAAGGAAAGUGUUAAUGCAAAUAAACCGUGAUUGAGAUAUCCUUCAAGGGUGAUGACAUACCCUUGCCAUGCAUUUAACUUGGGUAUUUGAGCUGGUUGGGGUGGCGCACACCUUUAAUCCCAGCACUGGGGACACAGUGGCAGGCGGAUCUCUGUGAGUUCGAGACCAGAGAAACCCUUUCUCCAAAAAAAAAAAAAAAAAUACAGUAUUUGGUUCAACACCAAGUAGCAUUCGUUUUGACAUCUAAAUUUUAUUUUGUUUUACACGUUUUUAAUGUGGUCAAGCACACAGGUGAGCCUAUGCUAUGGAGCAGUGACGAGGGCAGAGAACAGCUUAGCUUACAGGAGACCUUUCUUUCCUGCCGCAUCGGUGUCUGGUCAAUCCAGCUCAGGUCACUAGCUUUGCUUUGCAAGCUCUUACUGGCCAAGCCAAGCCAUGUUGGUCCCAUGUUUCCCGAAUUUUAAAGAUUUUGGAACCAUAUAAAACACAGACUGGUGAGGCGGCUCGGCAGGUGAAGGCGGGUUCCACGCAUGCCCAGUGACCCCCGUAACCUACUAAAGGUGGGAAGAGAGAGCCUGCUGUUCAGAGUGUCCCCUGCCUCCACACGUGUGCCCUCACACAUACUAUGUUUACACAGACACACACCAUAAGACUCGAACCUUUGGGAACUUAGGAAGUGUUCCUUAAGGGAUGUAAAGGGGUCAGUGAUUAAAUUCACGGGGUUUACAGGGUUUAAUGUGGGUGAUUUUCUUUUUGAUUUUGUUACAGGCAAAUGAUCUUUAUUUACUAAAGGUGAGAAUUGAUAGUUAAAGCACCACUUGUUCUGUUUGCUUUGUGUAAAAAGACAGGGUCUGUGCAAAGCCCUGGCUGUCCUGGAACCCACUGUGGGCCAGAUGGCUUCAAACUGACAAGAGAUUUAUCUGCUUCUGCCCCAUGAGUGUCAGGAUUAAAGGUGUGUGCCACCACACCUGGCAGGACACUGAUUCUGUGUGUGUAACGUGUUUCACAGAAUGUCUUGAUUUUCCUGCUAACACAAUAAAGGCAAUAAUAAAUAAAGCUAUGCAUGUGUGUUUUAUUCCUAAGGAUGUGUGUCUGUCUGUCUGUCUUCAUGAGCUUAUGUGCACCUCAUGGAGUCCAGAAGAGAGCAUUGGAUCCCCUGGAACUGGAGUAGCUAAUGCAGGCAGCCAAACCCUUCAAGUCCUCUGGGAAACCAAACCCAAGUCCCCUGCAAGAGCAGUAAACACUUUCAAUGGCCAAGCCAUCUCUCCAGCUCCUUCUUUGUGUUACCUAAUUCCUGUUGGAGGAAUGAGAGAGGGCAGCAGUUUCUAGCUUUUCCACAUGUCCUUGGCUUGUUCUGGCUGUCUGGAAAUGUUUUCGGUUGUCACCACUGAGGGAAGGUUAAUAGUGCCAUCUAGUGGACAGAGCUCACAGGUACAGUGAGACGACCUGCUAUAUACAGGGGGUAAAAUCUAAG
ensembl:lincRNA